GUUGAGGGAAAUGUUGUCUGGUUCGAGAUCAUUCAUAAAUAGUCCCAGUCUCCGACAUAACUUAUGAUGAGUGAUUUCGGACCAGGCUUCAUUCCCCUCAAA
rnacentral:pre_miRNA from 1 species